AUUGAACGCUGGCGGCAGGCCUAACACAUGCAAGUCGAACGAGUGGCGGACGGGUGAGUAAUGUCUGGGCAACUGCCUGAUGGAGGGGGAUAACUACUGGAAACGGUAGCUAAUACCGCAUACCAUCAGAUGUGCCCAGAUGGGAUUAGCUUGUAGGGUGGGUAACGGCUCCCCAGGGCGACGAUCCCUCGCUGGUCUGAGAGUAUGACCAGCCAGACUGGAACUGAGACACGGUCCAGACUCCUACGGGAGGCAGCAGUGGGGAAUAUUGCACAAUGGGCGCAAGCCUGAUGCAGCCAUGCCGCGUGUAUGAAGAAGGCCUUCGGGUUGUAAAGUACUUUCAGCGGGGAGGCGUUACCCGCAGAAGAAGCACCGGCUAACUCCGUGCCAGCAGCCGCGGUAAUUC
rnacentral:rRNA from 1 species